AACAAAGAAACCAAAGGACUCCACAAAUCCCGCAAAAAUGAGGUGAAAAUGGAAGAUUUCGCUUGAGAAAUACGUCCGAUUAUAAAAGAAGAACGUAAAAGAGAACCAUGAUCAGAAGAAAAAGGAUUGAUGAACUUACCAGACAUGUUGUAAAAUGUAAGAAAGAGUCCUGGAAGAAAAGCAGUUAUGAGAUUCCACAAUGUCCUUUUCUGGCUCAGUUAUAUGGGCUAUAAUGAAAUAUUCAUAAAAAUCACACAAAUUCUCAACACACAAGUCUUAAAACUGUCUCAGAGCAUACAAUAAUAUCCUAAUAUAGCUAGGGAUGUAUUAGUUUGUGAAAUUUUCUCUCCAUGCCUACUUUUUAAAACCCCUAGAACUCAAUGAUUUGACAAUGAUUUGAUUGCGCGUUACUUUCAAUUUGAAUAUUCAAAGGCUACACAAAAAUACAUAUUUUUCAGUAUAAAUCAAUACAUAUGCACUUAAAAUAACAUUCUAUUUAAUAGAAUACAGCACUAUUUUAUACCCAAACCGAAAAGAAGUUGAUAUUUUAAACAUUUUAUCCAUCUUUUGCCAAUCUGGCCGUCAGUUCCCCUUCAUAAUGAGGCCCUACAGGAAAGUAACGGUAAGAUGCUCUAUCUAAACAUCACCAACCAUUACACAUCGCAGAUCAUAUGUAUUUCAGGAAGGAUAAGCACAUCAACACGUUAUGACCAUACAUUUUUAGUCUUAUUUUAAACAACAAAAUAUUAAAUGUCUCGGCUGUGGGCGUGGCAUAUAGUAGCAGCCAUUUCUGCCAUCACUGACACCGUUGCUCCUUCAGCAAGUGCAUGCUCCCCAUCCCCGGAGCUCACGUCACCCAUGUGUUACCAGUUAUAUUACAGUGGUUUUAGCAUUAUUUAGUUUAGUUACAUUCAUUAUAUUCAUUAUUCAUAUAACCAUAAAGACUGAAUGUUUCAGUCAUUCACAUGUGAAACCUGAAUUGACAUCCCAGGGCUAGGCUACUUUAUAAUAUAAAAUAUAAAGAGUCUAUAGACGAUCUAUAAAGUAGCCUAGCAUCAUUCGAAUCCAGAAAGCUUUUUACAAAUGAGUUUCAAUGCAAAAACUCUGUUUAUAUAUGUCUGAUACAAUUUGAAUUCAAUGAGGAGACUCCUUGAUUGCUCUACUUUUGUAUCCUGGGCCUACUUAAAUGUCGGCAAAGUAUUUUCAAUUUAUAGACUUAUUGGAAUAGGGUUACUGUCCAUGCCUGUUUUUAUGUAGAAGAGUUUACAACUUAAUACAUAUGAUAUGAACAAACAACAUGUUAUCAGAAGGCAAUUUUCACUCAAAUAUUUUAAGAAAACAUGAGCACAUUUCCUUAGAUAAACCCGUUUCAUAGAAGUGUUCAUCCAUUGCCAUUGUUAGCCUACAUUUGAAUAACAAUUUACAAACAUAGCAAACAAUAAACACAAACAUAUACCUAGUUUGAAUUAAAAUAGCUUAGCUUUCCGUUUUGGGGUAUCAUAUAUCAUUAUCAUCAUUCAUAUAUUGAGAAAAUACACACACUAUAUGCCCAAUACAAUCUAUUGCCUUUCCUGAUUUAUACUGGUAGGGGCCUAUGCAAUGAUCCUAUCAUGUAGGUUCAAAGCCCAUCAUCUCCACUGGGUAGUUGAGUUGGUGUCUUUACCAACUUCUCACCUUCCAUAAAGUAGGACCUUGGCCCAUUAUCGUAAGUGCCAAGAAUAUCAUGCUAGUGUUCUGAUAUAAUAUCUAACGUUACAAUGUUUUAAUGUUUUAUUUCUGGGGUUGCAAUUUCCUCCCCACACAUUACGCUGGUACGGUGAGAGGAAGAGGUAACAUGAAACAACUGCGCCAUCUAGAGUAGGAUAUACGUAAGUGGGCUCUCCGUCUUAAUUGAAUGUAGAGACAAAAUCGUUGUUUUUUUUCAUGUGUAAAACAUAUGUUCCAUUUUCAUGCAUUUAUUGCAGUCUCUUUUAUUAUAUUGGAUUUAUAAUACACAUUCUACUGCCCAAAACAUUAUCUAUGUUGUUUAUUUCUUGAAAUGUAAAGCAAAACACAGGAACUGUGAGUAUGAUAAAUCACUUGCAUCUA